AGUUCGAUCCUAGCUCAGAUUGAACGCUGGCGGGAUCAUUACACAUGCAAGUCGAACGGCAGCCUGGACUUCGGUCUGGUGGCGAGUGGCGAACGGGUGAGUAAUGUAUCGGAACGUGCCUAGUAGCGGGGGAUAACUACGCGGCGUAGCUAAUACCGCAUACGCCCUUCGGGGGAAAGCGGGGGACCUUCGGGCCUCGCACUAUUAAGAGCAGCCGAUAUCGGAUUAGCUAGUUGGUGGGGUAACGGCUCGCCAAGGCGACGAUCCAUCGCUGGUUUGAGAGGACGACAACCACACUGGGACUGAGACUGGCCCAGACUCCUACGGGAGGCAGCAGUGGGGAAUUUUGGACAAUGGGGGAAACCUGAUCCAGCCAUCCCGCGUGUGCGAUGAAGGCCUUCGGGUUGUAAAGCACUUUUGGCAGGAAAAGAAACGGCACAGGAUAAUACCCCGUGCAACUGACGGUACCUGCAGAAUAAGCACCGGCUAACUACGUGCCAGCAGCCGCGGUAAUACGUAGGGUGCAAGCGUUAAUCGGAAUUACUGGGCGUAAAGCGUGCGCAGGCGGUUCGGAAAGAAGAUGUGAAAUCCCAGAGCUUAACUUUGGAACUGCAUUUUUAACUACCGAGCUAGAGUGUGUCAGAGGAGGUGGAAUUCCGCGUGUAGCAGUGAAAUGCGUAGAUAUGCGGAGAGACACCGAUGGCGAGGCAGCCUCCUGGGAUAACACUGACGCUCAUGCACGAAAGCGUGGGGAGCAAACAGGAUUAGAUACCCUGGUAGUCCACGCCCUAAACGAUGUCAACUAGCUGUUGGGGCCUUCGGGCCUUGGUAGCGCAACUAACGCGUAAAGUUGACCGCCUGGGGAAAUACGGUCGCAAGAUUAAAACUCAAAGGAAUUGACGGGGACCCGCACAAGCGGUGGAUGAUGUGGAUUAAUUCGAUGCAACGCGCGAAAAACCUUACCUACCCUUGACAUGUCUGGAAUCCCGAAGAGAUUUGGAGUGCUCGCAAAGAGAACCGGAACACAGGUGCUGCAUGGCUGUCGUCAGCUCGUGUCGUGAGAUGUUGGGUUAAGUCCGCAACGAGCGCAACCCUUAUACAUUAGUUGCUACGAAGAGGGCACUCUAAUGAGACUGCCGGUGACAAACCGGAGGAAGGUGGGGAUGACGUCAAGUCCUCAUGGCCCUUAUGGGUAGGGCUUCACACGUCAUACAAUGGUCAGGACAGAGGUCGCCAACCCGCGAGGGGGGAGCCAAUCCCAGAAACCCGAUCGUAGUCCGGAUCGCAGUCUGCAACUCGACUGCGUGAAGUCGGAAUCGCUAGUAAUCGCGGAUCAGCAUGUCGCAGUGAUGCGUUCCCGGGUCUUGUACACACCGCCCGUCACACCAUGGGAGUGGGUUUUACCCGAAGUAGUUAGCCUAACCGUAAGGAGGGCGAUUACCACGACCAGAUUCAUGACUGGGGUGAAGUCGUAACAAGGUAG
rnacentral:rRNA from 1 species